AUUAAGGUUGGUGCAAAAGUAAAUGUGGCCUUUGGCAUUAAAAGUAUUGGCAAAAACCACAAUUACUUUUGCACCAACCUAAUAUAA
rnacentral:miRNA from 1 species